rnacentral:rRNA from 1 species
UACGGGGGGGCAAGCGUUGUUCGGAAUUACUGGGCGUAAAGGGCUCGUAGGUGGCCAACUAAGUCAGACGUGAAAUCCCUCAGCUUAACUGGGGAACUGCGUCUGAUACUGGAUGGCUUGAGUUUGGGAGAGGGAUGCGGAAUUCCAGGUGUAGCGGUGAAAUGCGUAGAUAUCUGGAGGAACACCGGUGGCGAAGGCGGCAUCCUGGACCAAUACUGACACUGAGGAGCGAAAGCCAGGGGAGCAAACGGG